rnacentral:rRNA from 1 species
CUUCUUUUCUACCGAGUGCUUGCACUCAUUUGAAAAGAGGAGUGGCGGACGGGUGAGUAACACGUGGGUAACCUGCCCAUCAGAGGGGGAUAACACUUGGAAACAGGUGCUAAUACCGCAUAAUAGUCGACACCGCAUGGUGUUGAUUUGAAAGACGCUUUCGGGUGUCACCGAUGGAUGGACCCGCGGUGCAUUAGCUAGUUGGUGAGGUAACGGCUCACCAAGGCGAUGAUGCAUAGCCGACCUGAGAGGGUGAUCGGCCACACUGGGACUGAGACACGGCCCAGACUCCUACGGGAGGCAGCAGUAGGGAAUCUUCGGCAAUGGACGAAAGUCUGACCGAGCAACGCCGCGUGAGUGAAGAAGGUUUUCGGAUCGUAAAACUCUGUUGUUAGAGAAAGAACAAGUAGGAGAGUAACUGCUCUUACCUUGACGGUAUCUAACCAGAAAAGCCACGGGCUAACUACGUGCCAGCAGCCGCGGUAAUACGUAGGGUGGCAAGCGUUGUCCGGGAUUUAUUGGGCGGUGAAGCGAGCGGCGGCGGUUUCUUAAGUCUGAUGUGAAAGCCCCCCGGCUCAACCGGGGAGGGUCAUUGGAAACUGGGAGACUUGAGUGCAGAAGAGGAGAGUGGAAUUCUAUGUGUAGCGGUGAAAUGCGUAGAUAUAUGGAGGAAACCCAGUGGCGAAAGGCGACUCUCUGGUCUGUAACUGACGCUGAGGCUCGAAAGCGUGGGG